GCAUCAUCAGGUUCUGCUCAGAGCAGUGAAAAGGGUGGCAUUGACGUGCAAAAAGAGAAAUCUGAAGAAUAUAGCGAUAACAUGAAACAAGCUAUGGGUGCAGUGCUAACCUAUCGGCAUGAGCUUGGGAUGAACUACAACUUUAUUCUUCCAGACUUAAUUGUUGGUUCUUGCCUACAGAAUCCAUCAGAUGUUGACAAGCUUGUCAAAAUCGGGGUUAGAACCAUAUUUUGCUUGCAGCAGAAUGCAGACUUGGAAUAUUUUGGGGUUGACAUCCAAGAGAUUGAAGAUUAUGCCGAAAAAUGUGAGAAUAUUGAGCAUAUUCGUGCCGAAAUCAGGGAUUUUGAUGGCUUUGAUCUGAGGAUGAGGCUCCCUACUGUUGUCAGCCGAUUACAUAAGGCUAUAAAGAAUAAUGGUGGUGUGACCUAUGUGCAUUGCACUGCGGGUCUUGGAAGAGCACCUGCUGUUACGUUGGCCUAUAUGUACUGGGUUCUAGGAUAUAAACUAAGCGAAGCACAUAAAGUUCUUUUGAGCAAAAGAUCGUGCUGUCCAAAAUUGGAGGCUAUAAGAAGUGCCACUGCUGAUAUUCUCACAGGUCUAUCAAGAGGCCGUGUCAGAUUAUCGUGGAAAGGUGGUAAAUACUCCUCUGUAGAAAUUUCUGGUCUUGAUAUUGGUUGGGGCCAGAGAAUUCCCUUAAAAUUUAAUUCCUCUGAAGGUGUAUGGCUUCUGGAGAGAGACUUGCCUGAAGGGCUCUAUGAGUAUAAGUACAUAGUAGAUGGUGAAUGGAUCUGUAAUACUUCUGAGUUAAUGACAAGUCCACAAGGGGAUGGUCAUGUCAAUAACUACGUUUGUGUCCCAUGCACUGAUACUGAUUCCAAGUCUACAGCACUGCGAAAGCGUUUGAUAGAGGAAGAUGAUCUCACAUUGCUGGAAAGGCAGAUAAUUCUGGAGUUCCUGGAACAGUCAUAGUUCAGAUAGCAAACCAAGGCAUAUGUAAGGAUUGAGAGAAGAUCAACUAUCCCUUUCAUCGAUAUGUUUGAACUCUAUGCUAACUUGCUACGAGAUAGUUGUGAGAGGGGAAAAAAUGGAAAUUCAAUGCAAUUUUGUGAAGUACACUUUCCGAUAGGACAACUUCAAUAAGGACCAACACUUUAUUUGCUGAAAGUUCAUUGUUAUCUGUUGGAAGUCUUUGGUAUUGGUGGAAAUGUCUUAAAUAUCAGUAAUGGGGCUCUCCUUUGAGCUGAUGGUUUCGCUUCUUUGCCUUGAUAAAAGAAAAAAGUGCGGAUGACUUGUAUAACUUAUAACUUUGUUCAUGGAAACGCCGAUCUUUUAUAAUUUUGGUGUUUUUGAAAGCUCAAGGAAAUAGUUUAGUCACAUAUUGCAUAGUUGGAAUAUAAUUUAAUGUUUACAUGCCAAAU